AACGAACGCUGGCGGCGUGCUUAACACAUGCAAGUCGAACGGGUUUAAUGGAUGUAGCAAUACAUUCAUUAAAUUAGUGGCGCACGGGUGAGUAACACGUAGGUAACCUACCCUUCAGUGGGGGACAACAGAGGGAAACUUCUGCUAAUACCGCAUACGAUCACGGACUGGGAUGUUCGUGGUGAAAGGAUUUAUUCGCUGAGGGAUGGGCCUGCGGCCUAUCAGGUAGUUGGUGAGGUAAUGGCUCACCAAGCCUGCGACGGGUAGCCGGACUGAGAGGUCGAUCGGCCACACUGGAACUGAGACACGGUCCAGACUCCUACGGGAGGCAGCAGUGGGGAAUAUUGCACAAUGGGGGAAACCCUGAUGCAGCGACGCCGCGUGGAGGAUGACGGCCUUCGGGUUGUAAACUCCUUUUGUCAGGGACAAUGGUGAUGGUACCUGACGAAUAAGCCACGGCUAACUCUGUGCCAGCAGCCGCGGUAAGACGUAGCGU
rnacentral:rRNA from 1 species